GACGAACGCUGGCGGCGUGCCUAAUACAUGCAAGUAGAACGCUGAGGACUGGUGCUUGCACUGGCCUAAGGAGUUGCGAACGGGGGAGUAACGCGUAGGCAAUCUACCUCAUAGCGGGGGAUAACUAUUGGAAACGAUAGCUAAUACCGCAUGACAAUAGGGUACACAUGUACCCUAUUUAAAAGGGGCAAAUGCUUCACUAUGAGAUGGACCUGCGUUGUAUUAGCUAGUUGGUAAGGUAACGGCUUACCAAGGCAAUGAUGCAUAGCCGAGUUGAGAGACUAAUCGGCCACAUUGGGACUGAGACACGGACCCAA
rnacentral:rRNA from 1 species